rnacentral:rRNA from 1 species
AGACGUCUACAUUAGAUACCCGUGUAGUCCCAGCCGUAAACUAUGCGCGUUAGGUGUACUGGUGACCACGAGUCACCGGGGUGCCGAAGGGAAACCGUGAAACGUGCCGCCUGGGAAGUACGGUCGCAAGGCUGAAACUUAAAGGAAUUGGCGGGGAGCACCACAACGGGUGGAGCCUGCGGUUUAAUUGGACUCAACGCCGGAAAUCUCACCAGAUAGGACAGACAUAUGAUAGUCGGGCUGAAGACUCUACUUGAUGAUCUG